rnacentral:rRNA from 1 species
AAUAAGUUAAUUAAGAGCGUAAGGUGGAUGCCUUGGCUCUCAGAGGCGAUGAAGGACGUGAUAAGCUGCGAUAAGCUACGGGGAUUGGCACACACAAUUUGAUCCGUAGAUUUCCGAAUGGGGAAACCCACUAUAUUGAAGAUAUAGUAUCCGUUAAGGAAGCAAACCCAGGGAACUGAAACAUCUAAGUACCUGGAGGAAUAGAAAACAAAAGUGAUUCCGCUAGUAGUGGCGAGCGAACGCGGAACAGCCCAAACCAAAAUUGUUUCGGCAAUUUUGGGGUUGUAGGACCACGAUAUUGAAUG